rnacentral:rRNA from 1 species
GCUUGUCUCAAAGAUUAAGCCAUGCAUGUUUAAGUAUAGAGGAUUUUAUGCUUCGAAACUGCGGACGGCUCAUUAAAUCAGUUAUAAUCUACUUGAUCGUAUUCUCUACAUGGAUAACUGUAGUAAUUCUAGAGCUAAUACAUGCACAAAGUCCCGACUGCUUGCGGAAGGGAUGUAUUUAUUAGGUCCAAAAUCAAUACUGGCCACUCCAAGGUCAGUUCCUUGAUGAUUCAUAAUAACUAAACGAAGCGCAGAGCCCUCGUGGCGGCGCUGAUACAAACGAGUUUCUGCCCUAUCAACUUUCGAUGGUAGUAUAGGGGACUACCAUGGUGUUAACGGGUAACGGGGAAUUAGGGUUCGAUUCCGGAGAGGGGGCCUGAGAAAUGGCCACCACUUCCAAGGAAGGCAGCAGGCGCGCAAAUUACCCAAUCUCAAUUCGAGGAGGUAGUGACAAGAAAUACCAUUGUAGGACACAUCGUGUACUAUAUUUGGAAUGAGGACAAUUUAAACACCUUAUCGAGGAUCAAUUGGAGGGAAAGUCUGGUGCCAGCAGCCGCGGUAAUUCCAGCUCCAAUAGUGUAUAUUAUGGUUGCUGUAGUUAAAACGCUCGUAGUUGGAUUUCGGAAUGCGUUCGACCAAAGCCCGUCUAAACGGCGUGGCUCGGUGGGUGCUUCCAUGUUUUUAGGUUUCCAACGGCGCUGUCACUUCGGUGGUGGCUGUCCGUUCCUAAUCGUUUACUGUGAUCAAAUUAGAGCGUUCAAAGCAGGUGUCUCUGCCUUGAAUAGUUUAGCAUGGGAUAAUAGAAUAGGACCGUUACCGGUUUUAUUUUGUUGGUUUCUAAAGCUGGGGUAAUGAUUAAUAGGGACAGUUGGGGUCGGUCGUAUUGAAUCGUCAGAGGUGAAAUUCUAGGAUUGAUUCAAGACGAACUGAUGCGAAGGCGUCCGACAAGGAUGUUUCCGUUAAUCAAGAACGAAAGUUGGGGGAUCGAAGAUGAUCAGAUACCGUCGUAGUCCUAACCCUAAACGAUGUGGACCAAGGAUCCGAGGAUGUUACAUGGACGACUCUCCGGGCACUUUGUGAGAAAUCAUUGAGUAUUUGCACUCCGGGGGGAGUAUGGCCGCAAGACUGAAACUUAAAGGAAUUGACGGAAGGGCACCACCAGGAGUGGAAUCUGCGGCUUAAUUCGACCCAACACGGGAAACUUCACCAGGCCCGGACACAGUAAGGAUUGACAGAUUGAGAGCUCUUUCUUGAUUCUGUGGUUGGUGGUGCAUGGCCGUUUUUAGUUGGUGGAUUGAUUUGUCUUGUUAAUUCAGAUAACGAGCGAGACCUCAUCCUGCUAAUUAGUGAUGCGAACGUGGGCAUUCUUCGGAGUGUCCUCCUAGUUCGUGGGCAACUUCUUAGAGGGACUCUCGGCGUCUUUAGCCGAUGGAAGUCUGAGGCAAAAACAGGUCUGUGAUGCCCUUAGAUGUCCUGGGCUGCACGCGCGUUACACUGGCAG